UGUAAGGAAUGCGACCACUGCAAAUCGGAGGAGAGCAACAUGUGCAGCCUGCUGAGGAUCAACCCUGACCGGGGUGUGAUGAUCGGAGACGGGAAGGCGAGGUUCUCCAUCAACGGGAAGCCCAUCUACCAUUUUCUCGGCACCUCCACCUUCAGCGAGUACACGGUGGUGCACGUGGGCUGCCUGGCGAAGAUAAACCCGCUGGCCCCCCUGGAAACGGUCUGCGUGCUCAGCUGCGGGAUCUCCACAGGUGCGGCCUUAUUCCUCCUCUGCUCGGCUUCUCUAGUUUUAAAUAAGAAAAGCAUAACCUUGGAACGUGUUCACACCAUCUUCUUCAUACCAAGCAUAGCCUCCAAUUUUGGGCAUCAGAUCUUUUCUUAAUACCGUACAUGUUUUUUUGAACUUUUCGAAGGUUUCGGCGCGACGGUGAAUGUGGCCAAACCAAAGAAGGGAUCGUCUGUUGCUGUAUUCGGAUUGGGAGCCGUGGGCCUUGCCGUGAGUGUCUCUCUCACUCUUUCUCUCUCUGUUUAUCUGUAUGAUGGAUGAUGACAUAUUAGAAUGGUGACAAACAGGCUGCGGAGGGGGCGAGGGUCUCAGGAGCUUCCAGGAUCAUCGGUGUGGACUUGAACCCUGAGAGAUUCGAGCAAGGUGUGUGUCCAUUCUUUUCAAACCGAUGGGAUUUCGGUUUAUGAGAUCGACAGCAAAGUUUAAGACGUUUGCAUUGCUUUGAUCACCAGCUAAGAAGUUCGGCGUGACGGAGUUUGUGAACCCAAAAGAUUACGACAGACCCGUUCAAGAGGUUCGCUUUCUAUUUCACACAAUUUUACAUUUACGAGCAUAUCAUCGAGACGUUGACUGCGGUUUCUAAAAUGCGAGUCCUGUCGACUGUGGUGAACAGGUGAUCGCCGAGAUGACCGGCGGCGGAGUAGACCGCAGCGUGGAGUGCACGGGCAACAUCAACGCCAUGAUCUCCGCAUUCGAAUGCGUCCACGAUGUACUUUCUCUCGAUUGCUGAGGCUUCAUAAGCGGAAAUCUAUUCUUAUUUCAGGAUCUCUAAUCUAGUAUGGUUGACUUCACGGUCGCAGGGCUGGGGUGUCGCUGUGUUGGUCGGUGUGCCUCACAAGGACGCCGUGUUCAAGACCUCCCCAGUGAAUUUCCUGACUGAGCGGACCCUCAAGGGCACCUUCUACGGGAACUACAAGCCUCGCAGUGAUAUCCCUGGUGUGGUGGAGAAGUACAUGAACAAGGUAAGGGAACUCAGUUUCACCUUGCCACAUUAGUUCUGAGCGGGACUGAAUGAUCGAUGUCGGUGUUUGCUAAAAAACGUGCGUCUGUUUCUUUGGUGAUUUGACGGUGCAGGAGCUGGAGCUGGAGAAGUUCAUCACCCACGAGGUCCCCUUCUCCGAGAUCAACAAGGCAUUCGAUUUAAUGCUCAGAGGAGAAGGCCUGCGCUGCCUUAUCCGAAUGUAACACUGAGUUAUACUCCUGCCUGCUACUACCGAUGAAGGCGUUCUGUUUGAUGAAGGAUUGAUGCCGUUUUUAAUUGAGAAAACAUGUAAAGUUUUUCUGUUGUUGUUUCAAGGAGAUUGAACCCUAAACAGAUACCUUAAUUUGAAGAUGUGAGAAGAAUAAGAUUGUAGGAAGAACUCACUAGGGUUUCAGGAUCUAGCUGCUGCCCCCUUCACCUUAGGCCUCUGUAUUAGGCUUCCAAGAUCCAACACUCUUUGCUUCAGUUGAGAACAGCCGAUCUCCUACCGGGCACCUCAGAGAAUGCCCAACCUAUUUCCGUCUUCUUGAGAGAGCGAGAGGAGGAGAGCCACGAAGAGUGGGAGGAUGUAUGCACGGGAUUGAAAAAUGACGAGUAUUAGGUCUAGUGCUUUAUAUAUCAGGACAUCCAAAUUAUCACGUCAGUACAUAUAUUUUUAUAGAUCUACACAACUUGCGGAGUACAUUCAGCAAAUCAUAUCUCAGCAUACAAAGUUUCACCGGUGUAGGGAUUUCAGCCACCCUAAAUCCACCACAAUGGCGCCAACGAGGGAAGGGUAGAGGCCUGGGGAGUAGCCUAAUGGGAUGAGACAACUGGUACUCCACCAAUGCGGCAGCAAUGACGACGAGGAGGCAAACUUCUGCCUGCGCGUGGGGAUAAUGGGCAGGGUAAGGAAGUGAGAGGACCAGAGAUAUACUAUAAACAGGACAGUAGAGGAAUCAAAGGGUUGGCGACGGGGUGAUAGACCUCUGCUCAUCAAACGGGAUAGAGACCGUCUCUGAAAGGAUCACUGGUGUUACUGAUUUGUUUAAACUAGUUGGGCCAUUGCAACGGCCCAAGAGAGAAGAUGAUGAGUUAUAUCCGACCCGCAUCUGUUAUAAUGGAUGCCCAUUUGUUGUAAUGGUCUCUCGUAUGUCAUAACCGCUGUCCUUCUCACCCUUUUGUCUUCCCCACCCCACUCUUCCUCUAUUUACAGUGGAGGGGUGUAGGAGAAGGUAGAGUAAGAGUGUCAGGGUCGGGUCUGGGGUUGGAGGGAUACAAGAAAUCGUGAAACUCUCGGUCCUUUCCCUUUUUCCCCUCUAUAUGCAACUAGGACAGUGCUAGAAAUUGUGGCUCAGCAUUUUCAGUAAUGUAUCAUGAUGUAAGAUGUGUUUCAUAUGAUGGUUUGGUUGUUAUUUAGAUCUCCAUUUUGUGUUUCUUCAAGUAAGAAAAAAGAGGCAUCCAAAGCAGAUAGUAUUGUCUUCAAUGUUCCAUGAAGACAGCUCGUGUUGUAUUCUGUGCUGGUCUCUACAGACGCCAAACAUCACGCGCAAGAGACAGCACCGAGGACCCCGGUUUCACUCUUCGGCGACAGCGGUAUCGCAAACCAGGGUGGCGGCUUCAUCCGGUCGUUGUUUGAAGGGCCUAGUCCGCUGGAUCAAUCCACCACGUUUCAAGUAAUCCGAAGGAUGGAGCGGUUGAGUUACGACGGCGAUGAGCUGCUCCACGAGUACCGUCUCACGUAAUUGCCCAGCUCGGGAAAGACUCAAGACCUCUGGACUGGUCUAAUUUGCUGGUUGGAUAUUCGUCACCCUCUUUGUAACUCAAGAAACUACUAGAAAAUGAGAUAGGAACAUGAUUUGAAACCAGUUAUGUCGAGCCAUAAGCAAGCUUGAGAGUGAUCGAUGUAAAUUGUUUGGCUUUCAGCAUUUUAUUAAAAAAUGGAUUUCCCAAAAUCGAAACCUGAUGCGAUGGCCAACAGUGUUGAAUUUAUUUAAUAAAAAAUUCAUCAAUAUAAAAAUUAGAAUGUAAUCCGGCUGUUUUCGAGGUGUGAUUUCUGAAUCCCUCAAUUUUAUGAAUUUUAAAGAAUGCGUCAAUCAGGGAAUGCUCCGUGUGUAAUGAAGUAUUCCAGGAGUAGCUUAUCGUAUCAAUUAGAACAAAGCAAUUUAAAUAACUACGUGUACACCAGUAUCUUACUGACGUCAGAGUAAGGCCUGAGUCAAAAUCUAAGACGAUGCAGAUACAACUGAGGCGGACGCGUCAGCUAGCCACGCCGUCGGCUGUGAAAGAGGAAGACAGCCGCCGGGUGAGAUGUUUCCCGCAGCACAAGCGGUAUGGGCGAUUCGAGAAAGCACGAAUGCCCUCGAGUCUGCUCCCUAUAAAUGCUUACUCAGGCAUCUCUGUGUUUCUCAAGUUAAUAUCGGCCUUGCAUUACAACGAGCGAGCGACAACAACAGAGCAAAGAUGACGAGCACAGCUGGUCAGGUCAUCAAGUGCAAAGGUUCGUCCCUUCUGCCGUUUGUUGGUGUUUCAUUCUUUUGUUGCCUCAAGGAGACGGAGCUCAGUUUUCCCCCAAUUUUGAGUGGGGGCACAUGGGUUCUUCCGGUCUUCGUGAUACCUGGAGGGGGACAGAAAAUACCCUUCUGCUUGGCAAAGGCUGCAAAUUUAUCCUUACUUCUCUGGCCUGAUGUUGCAGCGGCGGUUGCCUGGGAGGCGGGGAAGCCGCUGGUUAUCGAAGAGGUGGAGGUGGCUCCGCCGCAGGCCAUGGAGGUCCGCGUGAAGAUCCUCUUCACCUCCCUCUGCCACACCGACGUCUUCUUCUGGGAGGCCAAGGUACGGAUUUCCUCCAUAGUAUCUCCGACAGACGGCGAUCCCCGGAAGAUCUCUCGGUCGAUGGAGCGCGGUGAUUGACGUGGUCUGGCUAUGGUGGCAUUGCAGGGUCAGACACCCGUGUUCCCCCGAAUUUUGGGCCACGAAGGAGCAGGGUACGCCUCCACCUUUCAAUUCCUCUCGCUUCCUCGGUCUCCCCGAAUAGUCUUCUUCUUUCUCUUCAUCAGUCUCCCCAUAUGGACUUAAACUUCGGCGUACUGGUGUUGAUGGUGAGCAGGGUCGUGGAGAGCGUGGGAGAAGGCGUGACGGAUCUGCAGCCGGGAGACCACGUGCUCCCGGUGUUCACGGGAGAGUGUAAGGAGUGCGACCACUGCAAAUCGGAGGAGAGCAACAUGUGCAGCCUGCUGAGGAUCGACCCUGACNNNNNNNNNNNNNNNNNNNNCGGCGUACUGGUGUUGAUGGUGAGCAGGGUCGUGGAGAGCGUGGGAGAAGGCGUGACGGAUCUGCAGCCGGGAGACCACGUGCUCCCGGUGUUCACGGGAGAGUGUAAGGAGUGCGACCACUGCAAAUCGGAGGAGAGCAACAUGUGCAGCCUGCUGAGGAUCGACCCUGACCGGGGCGUGAUGAUCGGAGACGGGAAGGCGAGGUUCUCCAUCAACGGGAAGCCCAUCUACCAUUUUCUCGGCACCUCCACCUUCAGCGAGUACACGGUGGUGCACGUGGGCUGCCUGGCGAAGAUAAACCCGUUGGCUCCCCUGGAAACGGUCUGCG
rnacentral:lncRNA from 1 species